CUGCGGAAGGGUAGUUGUGGGGUAUGGCCGCCUUCUGUCUGCGUCUUCCGCCCUGGAUCUCUCUGCCAAGCGCCGAGGGCCAGACUAAAGAGACGCCACAAGGCUUGACCGCUGCCCGGCCUUGUCGAUGAAGCAAUGUAAUCCUGCAGAAGACUACUGCCGGCCUCCAGCUGGGAAGGGCACAACUGAGCGUGAGUUCUCGGAUGAAGGCACCACGUUGGUUGGGGAGUCGGCGGAAAUGAAGAGGAACUGUUCUAGACUUCCAAGUCAACACAGAGUAAGAGCAAAAUGAGAGAAAGAUAUUCAAUGUCUGCGGUGCAGUAUCCAUCUUUCAUUCCUCUUUUUAAAACCCUAAACCGCUUUCCUCCAACUGUAUCCACCACAGACCUUCCAUCAGAAUAUCUUUCGCUGCCUGAUUGGCAGGACGAAGGACAACAGUAACGCGCAGUUCUGGCAAGCGUCUGGGAGCGACUGGCAGUGCAGAGGGCGGUUUGAAACCGUACAACCAUAGUGAAGAAGAAUCUGGCAAACACUUUAAAAAGUUCGUCUCCCUUAAACUUCUAGAAAAAAUUGUACAAGUACUCGAAAGAAUGUUCACUGUAAUAUUGGGUACAGUAACCAAAACUUAGGGGAUUAGCAAACGGACAAAACCAUAAAAUGAAAUGCCAUAUUGUCAUUUUAAGAUAU